UCUACGGGAGGCAGCAGUGGGGAAUAUUGGACAAUGGGCGAAAGCCUGAUCCAGCCAUGCCGCGUGUGUGAAGAAGGUCUUCGGAUUGUAAAGCACUUUAAGUUGGGAGGAAGGGCAGUAAAUUAAUACUUUGCUGUUUUGACGUUACCGACAGAAUAAGCACCGGCUAACUCUGUGCCAGCAGCCGCGGUAAUA
rnacentral:rRNA from 1 species